GUUUUAGGGAGUUAAGGAAAGAAAAGUCAGAAAACAGUUUAACGUGAAAACAAGUGGAGAAGAGAAAAGCUAAGGCAAGGAGAGAAGACCAAGAGAGAAGAACUUAGGAACUGAUUUUGCUGUGCUAUUUGUCUUUGCAAUUCUAAGGUAAGGGUGGGAUUAUCUUUCAAUAGUCAUAAUAUGUAAUUUCUGAAAAUUAAUCAAUUAAACUGUUCUUAAGGUAAAAUUGGGAAAAUAAGGGUUAAUGAUGAUUUUGAAAGAAAAGGUGUAAGAAUCAG
rnacentral:lncRNA from 1 species